rnacentral:rRNA from 1 species
UACGUAGGGUGCAAGCGUUAAUCGGAAUUACUGGGCGUAAAGCGUGCGCAGGCGGUGAUGUAAGACAGGUGUGAAAUCCCCGGGCUUAACCUGGGAACUGCAUUUGUGACUGCAUCGCUGGAGUGCGGCAGAGGGGGAUGGAAUUCCGCGUGUAGCAGUGAAAUGCGUAGAUAUGCGGAGGAACACCGAUGGCGAAGGCAAUCCCCUGGGCCUGCACUGACGCUCAUGCACGAAAGCGUGGGGAGCGAA